rnacentral:lncRNA from 1 species
AAUGAUGGUAUGGAUACAUCAGAAUUCUGCAAUGCCAAGGGGACUUGCUUUAAUACUACAGACACUGGGUGUUCAGGGCUGAUAUUUGCACAGAAAGGCUUUUGAGUACCAGGGGACACAGACUUUGAAUAUCUGUCUCAACUCCUUUCUGCAAAGGCUUUGAAAGGGGCAGCAGGGCUAAGGCCAGGCUGAGAACAGAGAUCC